rnacentral:sRNA from 1 species
UAAUACGCUUAAUUCCCGCGCGUAACGGCCGGGAAGCGGGGGAACCAAUCUUUUGGGGCUAAUUGGCGCCGAUGAGGCGUCAUAGGGUACCAUCUUGCCCGAGUCCGUCAGCUAACCUCGUCUGCAG